rnacentral:rRNA from 1 species
CCUACGUGAGGCAGCAGUGAGGAAUAUUGGUCAAUGGGCGCGAGCCUGAACCAGCCAAGCAGCGUGAAGGAUGACUGCCCUACGGGUUGUAAACUUCUUUUAUAAAGGAAUAAAGUGAGGCACGUGUGCCUUUUUGUAUGUACUUUAUGAAUAAGGAUCGGCUAACUCCGUGCCAGCAGCCGCGGUAAUACGGAGGAUCCGAGCGUUAUCCGGAUUUAUUGGGUUUAAAGGGAGCGUAGAUGGGUUGUUAAGUCAGUUGUGAAAGUUUGCGGCUCAACCGUAAAAUUGCAAUUGAUACUGGCAGUCUUGAGUACAGUUGAGGUAGGCGGAAUUCGUAGUGUAGCGGUGAAAUGCUUAGAUAUCACGAAGAACUCCGAUUGCGAAGGCAGCUUACUAAACUGCCACUGACAUUGAUGCUCGAAAGUGUGGGUAUCAAACAGGAUUAGAUACCCGAGUAGUC